AUUAUUCUGUUGGAACAUCCUGUCGGUGAAAAUUUUGCCUGACCUGGUUCCGUUAUUAUUAUUCUGUUGGAAUAACCUGUCUAUGCGAAGUACCGCAUGCAUGGUGAUUUCUUUUGUUAUUCCAUUCUUUAUUAUACUCAGUUGGUUAAAGUUUCGACUUCUAUACUCCAUGAAAUUAGUAGAAUAUCCUUGAUAUUUGCGCUUCAUCCAGUAUCUUUU
rnacentral:lncRNA from 1 species